AUUGAACGCUGGCAGCAUGCCUUACACAUGCAAGUCGAACGGUAACGCGGGGCAACCUGGCGACGAGUGGCGAACGGGUGAGUAAUACAUCGGAACGUGCCCAGUAGUGGGGGAUAGCCCGGCGAAAGCCGGAUUAAUACCGCAUACGACCUACGGGUGAAAGCAGGGGAUCGCAAGACCUUGCGCUAUUGGAGCGGCCGAUGUCAGAUUAGGUUGUUGGUGGGGUAAAAGCCUACCAAGCCGACGAUCUGUAGCUGGUCUGAGAGGACGACCAGCCACACUGGGACUGAGACACGGCCCAGACUCCUACGGGAGGCAGCAGUGGGGAAUUUUGGACAAUGGGCGCAAGCCUGAUCCAGCCAUGCCGCGUGCGGGAAGAAGGCCU
rnacentral:rRNA from 1 species